UACGGAGGGUGCAAGCGUUGCUCGGAAUUAUUGGGCGUAAAGGGCAGGUAGGUGGUCUCGUUUGUCUGGGGUGAAAGCCUUGAGCUCAACUCAAGAAGUGCCCCGGAAACGGCGAGACUAGAGUACUGGAGAGGGUCGUGGAAUUCCCGGUGUAGCGGUGAAAUGCGUAGAGAUCGGGAGGAACACCAGCGGCGAAGGCGGCGACCUGGACAGUUACUGACACUCAACUGCGAAAGCGUGGGGAGCAAACAGG
rnacentral:rRNA from 1 species